GUUGGCGACAUCUGUUAUUCUCAUUAGCGGUUUCUAAAGGAUUGUCAACCAUCAAUCCAAUAGAAGUUCUGAACAUUCUUAAAAAAUAGGUAUUUUGAAAAAAAUUGACAAAAAAUCUUUAAAAGUCUGUUGAAAACAACUGUUUUUAAAACAGCUGUUUGGCAAAAGAUUCAUCCACUGUUUAAAGGUAUUGUCUCAUCUCAUAAAAUGCUGUUUUUUGUAACGACUAUUGAGUUGCUACUGGUGCGAACAUUUGUUAUUCACAACAGCAGUUUCCAAAGAAUUGUCAAUGAUUAACUUUAUAGAAUGCUGA
rnacentral:lncRNA from 1 species